rnacentral:rRNA from 1 species
GUCGUACAGGUUUCCGUAGGUGAACCUGCGGAAGGAUCAUUAUUGAUUGGUCGAAAGACCUUAUCAGAUUCUACCACCUCUGUGAACCGUUGACCUCCGGGUUAAUAAUCAAACAUCAGUGUAACGAACGUAAGAGUAUCUUAAUUAAACAAAACUUUUAACAACGGAUCUCUUGGCUCUCGCAUCGAUGAAGAACGCAGCGAAAUGCGAUAAGUAAUGUGAAUUGCAGAAUUCAGUGAAUCAUCGAAUCUUUGAACGCACCUUGCGCCUUUUGGUAUUCCGAAAGGCAUGCCUGUUUCAGUGUCAUGAAAUCUCAAUCUAAUAUGUUUUCUGAACAUGUUAGCUUGGACUUGGGUGUCUGCCAGCAAUGGCUCACCUCAAAUGACUUAGUGGAACAUCCCACAUCAGUGUUAGACGUAAUAAGUUUCGUCUCUCCUUGUGGUGAUGACUGCUCAAAACCUGCCAUCGCGCACCUUUUGACUUUGACCUGAAAUCAGGUAGGGCUACCCGCUGAACUUAAGCAUAUCA